rnacentral:tRNA from 1 species
AUAUUCGUUAAUGUAUAGGGCAUAAAAAGUUUUGAUCUUUUUUGAGAUAGUGCAAUUCUAUUACGAUUAUU